AUACUUACCUGGCGCGGGGGAUAUACCGUGAUCAAGAAGGCGGUGCCUCCAGGACGAGCCCUGUACAUUGCACUCCGUAUGGGCUGACUCCUGCGACACCCCCAAAUCGGGGUGGCUCGAGCGCAUAAUUUUUGGUAGUGGGGGACAAGCGUUCGCGCUGUCCCUUU
rnacentral:snRNA from 1 species